rnacentral:tRNA from 1 species
AAGUUGCUUGUGAGAGUUGCUGAUCAAGCUCAUUUCGUUUGAGCUUGGCAUCCAACAAUGAAAUCGUGCUUUCGAUCGCAACUUUC